rnacentral:lncRNA from 1 species
GUAAAAGAUAAUUUCAAUCUUGCCAUUCCUACAAAUAUUAUUGCAUUGUAUGAAUCUCCAGUUAAGAUAAUGUAUAUUGUGUAGUUAGAUUCUAAGAGUUCCAUUCCUCAUCUGCAGUCCACCAAAUAGUGGCAGGUGCUACAUUUUACCAAGAUAUUAUUAUUUAUUUAUACUGUUUUUUUUUCCAAUAUAGCUAUUUAAACCUCAACAUAUGAUAUUCAAAACAUUCCUAAAUUUUCUAUUAUAGCUUUAGAUUUUACAAUAGACAUUUUACAUUUUGUUUUUUUAUGCAUAAUACAAGGUAUGUUUGUCAUUUUAUUACACAUGCUACUGUACAUAUGUUUAUUUCAUAUCAUUUUUCAAUUCGUCCCUUUAUUUGUAAGUAAACAAACUAGCAUCUUUUCUCUUAUUAAUUAAAUAUAAUUUUAUUAAAUUAUUUCUCACAAUAUCUUUUUAUUGUUGCUUUAAAGCAAACUACAAUUGCUUUAAUUUAUUUAAAAUUAUUCAACAUAUUCAGACUUUAAUUGUAAACAAUUUUAAAGAUUUAAAUAAUUCAUUUCCAUAUAUUGAAAAAAAAACCAAGGAAAUAAAUUUCCCUGAAUGCGUACCAACACAAAUGCAAGUCCACUAUCAAACUCCAACAUUGACUUCAAUAAUUACACAUUAAAUCAUAUACAGUUUGUACCAUCAAGCUUCAGUUUCUAUAGAACUUCCUUGAAAUUUUAUCUCUAUUUUUUGCAUCAUGUCAGCAUUAAUAAAAACCAUGGCCACUUCUCCUAAAAACAUGAUAGUUCAUCAUGCCAAAAUUAAAGUUACUUGCAUAUUUCACAAAUUGUUUAGAUCAAUAAAAUUCAGUAAAGAUAAAACUAUGCCUUUCAAUGAAAUAAAGACGAUUGGUCAUUAUUAAAAAAAUAAAUCCCUGUAUAAAAAUUGUGCUUAUUUUUAUAAAAAAAAAUAAAACCUGACAACCAACAAUCUAAAACUAACGGCAAUCCUAUCAAUUAAUAGAGAAAUACAUUUUACUAGAAACAAACUUAUUAUAUCAAACAGUACAAACUAUAACCAUACAAAAUCAGAACCUUUAUCAUAUUUAUAGAGUCUAUUAUCUUUAAAAUUUGAUCAGUUAGCAGUAUUAUUCCUUCAAAGAAAAUUUUAAUUGUUCCAAUUAUAUAAUUCAUUUAUUUUGUUUUACAUAAACUCUUAUUAAAUCACCACAAGUACUGCUACAAUCCACUAUUCAACCAUAUAUUAUGUAAAAAACCACAUGUUUUUGUUAAACUAAAAUUUUAAAUGAAUGAGCCAUCAACACAUGUCUAAUCUAUAAAAGUAUUCAAAUGUAACUUGAAAAGAUGUACUAAAGGGACGAAACUCACAAGGCCAAACCGACACAUUA